UGGACCAGACCACAUCCCCUCGCUCCCCCCUCACUCUCCUCUCCACCAACCCUAGUUCCCAAAUCCGUCGCCGUAGCUAGGCACUGCCGCCACAACGAUUGUCGCCGCAUGCAGCCACUCCCGCCGCCGGCGACAUCAUCCUCAUGUCAUCUUCGAGCUCCAUCCGCUCUAGACUGUUUGGCCGCUUAGUUUCUGUGCCUUUGACCGAUUUCCCCGAUUGUGGCGACGCCGUGAAAUUCUACCGCUCUAGCACCGAUGAGCACGAUGGUUGGGUUUUCUACAAGUGCAGCAAGCACUCUGUGCAGCAGAGGACAGGGGGGAGAACUUGAGAGGAAGAGGAGUGAAUCAAUGGAAGGAAGAAGCAUAAGUGGAAGAGGCAUAGCUGGAAGAGGCAUUGCAAGCAGAGUUAAUUUUGGCAGCCCUAGUGAGCAGAACGUUUCUACCAAGCAGCAAGCUACUGUGCUGCUUGGAUUGGGUAGAGAGAUCCUUCUAGUGCUGGAGCUGGUGAUGGCUAGUGUUAUGGUGCUUUAUGUGCCGUGUUUCAUCUUAAUUAUGAACAACUGAAGUGUUGAUAGAUGAAUAGGUGUUUUAGGUGAAGUAGCCCUUAGUUAAGCAGACCAAAAGCCUUUGUUUGGUAAGGUUGUAAUGGCUUUAUUUUGGUUUGGCUGCAUGAUCAAGUGGCAUAGUUGCUCCUGUUAGUAUGGUUGUAAUGAAUUUAUUUUUUUAUGGUUGUAAUGGAUGAUCUAUCAAGUAAUAUGAAGACUAUAGUAUCAUUGCUUCUUCUGCCAA